ensembl:lncRNA
AGUGGGGUGGGGCGGGGGCACCAGGGGUGAAGGGGAGCACUUAUAUGGUGGCAGUCAGGAAAUAAUGUACAACUGAAAUCUCACAUUGAUGUAAACUAUUAUGAACUCAAUAAAAAAAAAUUGCCUGUUACAGCACUUAUUGGCAUGUAAUUCUGGUAGGGCACAUCAUGAUUAUCUGGGUCUCUCAUUUGUAAAUGAGGGAGUUGUAGGAGUGUUCUAGUGCCUUCCAUCUUGAACAUUCUCUCAUUCCAAAGUAGGACUCUGACAUAGCCCUAAUGUGCUUCUAGCUCCCUGCCUUUCCAGGACAUUGACGUAAGGCAGAACAUGCUUCUUAUACUUCUCUAAGGUGAGACUUUGAAUGCACAGCAUAUAAUACAAAGAAUCCUGUACAGCGAGCCCCUUCGGCUCUGUGGGACCAUAGACGAUCUGACCUUCCAUUGUGUGUCUCCACACUGCUUGGGAAAGAGGCCCUAAAGGUGAAUACCCAACGUGUGGAGUUAAGCGAGACCGUCAUCGUGCCGAUUGAAUCUAGCAUAAUUUCAUUUGGCCUUGUUUAAGUGGGUCCCUAAUGUUUGGAGAAUAUGUUUGAGGAAGAACUUUAUAUUUUUUACAGCAUGUUUUGAAUUUACCCCGAUACGGAAAAGAAUUGAUGGGAGGUGACUUAAACGUGGCCCUUUAUGAAAUGAGGUCCAAGGGUUCAGCAACCUCUCAAGUGUCCGCGGUGGCCCAAGAUCCAAGUUAGCGUGGACUGUGUCCUAAGGGGUGACGUUGGGAAGGAGGUUUCUGAAGAAGCAGAGGCAGGAAACAGUAGACAAAAGUACAAAGUGUGGAUAAAAGGAAAAAGAGGGAAACGUUGAUGGAAUAAAAGCCCCGGAGGAGGAGCGCUGUUCUAGAGAUGAUGCGAGUGAAAUAGCGGUGGUGCUCUCGCCAGCCUUGCAAAUUGCUGAAGGGGUUCGCCACUGGUUCAGGUGUUCCAGAAAGGAGUCAGGAGGGAGCGCUGCUAUGGUCUGCACACGUUGGUACCCCACCCCCUCCAAAUUCUUGUGUGGAAACCUGAGGCCCGAUGUGACGGUGUUGGGAGGUGGGGCCCUUGGGAGGUGAUUAGGUCAUGAGAGCAGAGCCCUCGUGUUUGGGAUUUGUGCCCUUAUAAAGGAGACCCCAGAGAGCUAGCUGCUCCCUUCUGCCACGUGAGGUCAGAGUGAGAAGAUGACCCUCUGUGAGGAAGGGGGCUCUCACCAGACACUCAAUCUGCCAGGCCUUGAUCUUGGGCUUGCCAGCCUCCAGAACUGUAAGCAAUUAAUGUGUGUUGUUCAGAAGCCACCCCGUGGACGGUGUUCUGUUCCAGCAGCCCGAGUGGACCAAGACAAGGGCCGUGUACGGCGGGCGCCACUGAGUGUGAGACCUGCGGGUUCCUCCUCGUGUCUGGGGAUUGGCAGUUCUCUUCCCCACUUUACAGACGAGGAAGCUGAAACCCAGAGAGGACACAUCACCUGCCCAAGCGUCACAAGAAAACUUUUGAGACCAAGCUUCUCCCAGACACUAAAGAAAGAGUUGUAAAUCGUCCUGGCCACGGUGAGUAUACAGCAUCUCAGAAGCUGCUUCCCGCAACCCGACUCUGCUUGAGGCAUUUUGCCAUGUGCUGGAGAAACAACAAUGAAAAGAUAACCUCAUCGUGAAACAAAGACAAGCAAAUAAAGUAAUUUCAAAUUAUGGGAACUAUAGCAAAGGAAACGACCAGGGUACUGAGGCUGAGAAUAAUCUCUUAGGCACUGUUGGGAUGGAGAUCAUUUUGAGACAUUUCACCGAUGUGGUUAAACUUGUAGUUCAUAUAUUCCCGAGCUGAAUAAGAUACCACUGGAAGUAUCACACCUUCUCUAGAAAGUCGUCUGGAAGCUUCUGAUAGAGCUGUGUGUUCUCCACCUGAACGCUCGUCCUUCACAUGCCUGAGUGAGUCCUGGGCUUGGCUCUGACACUGCUGGGAGAGCUCAGAGACGUGGCAGUUCCUGCUGUCCUUCGGCUGCAUUGCCGACGCGUGACGGCCAGGCUUCUACAGUGACGUCUUACCAUUUUAGCCCUGCAACAUAGGGUGAUCUUUUUGAAGAUUUUUUAAAGUGACAAUUAAGAUCCAAAUUUAAAUGAAAUCCAACUGUGAACAAUAGUACCAAUGUCAACCAAGGCCAGAUGGGUCAACGCAUGCUUUUCACGCUUGGCAGUGGCCCAUCCUGCCUGGCAGCUGGCAAGUUUCUUUAAUGAGAAGAAUAAGACAAAUGUCUGUGUGAGAAAGUCCAAAACGACGGGGUGUGUGUGUGUGUGUGUGUGAGUGUGUGUGUGUGUGUGGUGGUGGAGCUGUGUUACAAUCCCACUCCAUGCUGGGGAUGUAUUAUAGACUAGACGGCUCACUUGAUUCUAGGAUGCUUGAGGGCAGGAACUGUCUCUUAUUUGUGUCUCCGUCCCUCGGGGAUGCUCAGCACAGCACCAAACACACGGCAGAUGUUCACUAAAUAUUUUGAUCAAUGAACAGAAGUGCUCAGGAAGGAUUAGGCAACGUGAUGUAAGAAAAGCAGACUUUCCAGUCAAUUAGAUCUGCAUUUAAAUCCCACCCUCACUCAAUAACCAAGUGUCAUGGACUGAAUGUUUGUGUCCCCCCAAAUUCCUGUGUUGAAACCCUACCCCUCAACGUGAUGGUAUUAGGAGACGGGCUUUGGGAGGUAAUUAGGAUUAGAUGAGGUCGUGAGGGUGGAACCCUCACGAGUGGGAUUAGUGCCCUUAGAAGAGUCACAAGAGACCUUGCCACUUCUCUCUGUUCUCCUCCAUAUGAGGAUUCAGUGAGAAGCUGGCAGUCUGCAACCCGAAGCGGGUCCCACCGACACCUGUGCUGGCACCGUGAUCCCAGACUUCCAGCCUCCAGAGCGACCGAGAAACAGAUUUUAUAAGCCACCUGGUCUGUGGUACUUUGUUAUAGCAACCUGAACUGACUAAGGCACAAUGUGACCUUGUCCCUAACCUCCUGAAACUCAGCCUCCUUCUCUAGGAUGGGGGGAAAUACAUACAGAUCACAUGGUCUACAGGAGAACUCAGGAACUGUGAUCCCCACACAGCAGUCGAUGGUUAAGUGAGGUGGUGGUAUAGCAGCAGACCUAGGCUGUAGGAGCAGCUCAUCUGAAUCGUAAAACCAGCAAAAGGGUGGGCCUGGCAGCCGCAGUGACCACUUUACAGGACCCAGAGCUUUCCCAGGAAUCCCUAAGGGCUUCCAGCUUGCCGGGACCCAAGGUGGUCACCGCUGGAUUCAGGGACCGUGAGAGUCUGCAGUGAAUUGGCACUUGGGAGAGAGCAUGGUGGAGCAGAGCAAGGUCCGUGGCUGACAGGCUCUCGUUGAGCUGGCUCCUGGCCCCCUCAGAUCUCCCUCUCCCUGCCUCGCUGCGUUCAGCUACCUUCACCUCUUUGCUGCUCCCCUUCUCUCGUGGAGCCUUUCCCAUCUCGAGGGUUUUGUCCUUGCUCCUCCUGAUAGUUAUUUCCAUGCCUCGUUCCUGCACUUAAAUGCCACCUCCCCAAAGAGGCCUUGCCUAACUACCAGAUCUAAAGUACCACCCCCAUCCCCCCACACACUUCAUUCUCUUACUUGGCUUUAUUUUUUUUUUUUGUCACAUUUUCAUUAUGUUACAAAUUUGCUUAUUUGUCUCCCCCCUGGAAGACAAGGGCUUUUUCUCUUGCUUGGCACAUGGGAAAAUCUCAAAUAUUUGACUAAAUGAAGUUGUGAAUGGAUAAACGUGAGAUGAUUCGUGUUGAUGUUGCCCACACCCUCCCUUGGGUGGGAGGGGCGUGUAACCUUGUCUCAUACCUGAAGGGCACCGUGUUCUUAACAGCCGCAAGGUUAUCAAUAAGACACUUUAAUCAUCUCAGAAAAGCAGACCCAGACAUAUUUCGGAAUGGAGCAUACGAUGGCAAACAGUCAAAUCCCACCAACGUUAAGAAUUAAUGAGCUGUCUGUUCUCUUAUGAACUUAAAUGUAUAAAUUCUGCUGCUCUGUGCCAUUCAGAUUUAGAACUGAAGCCGAAAAUAAUUGUGAAGGUGAAGGACAGCAUUGGGAACUAUUUUAAUAACCUGCAACAAAUGAGAUGGUUUUUUUUUUUUUCUAAAGGCACUCAGCUGAGCCUUAUUCGAUUUUAUGACUCUCUUAGAUGUUUCUCAAAUUGUAGCUUGGGAAUAACGAUUGUCCCCAUUUUUCUAGUUGUUAUUAGAGCUGACACACUGAUAGUGCCUGAUGGGAAGGGAAUGGAGGGGCAGUCGCUUAGUCCAGUGGAGAAAUUAGACAAGUCCAGAGGUCACACCACUGUUGUUUGUCUUUGGGCCCGGUCAGUUGCAGCCGCAUUGCGGGCUGUACCCAACGGGUGGAACGAUGCAGUGAUUUGCCGAAGAGCUUUAUGGGCAUGACUUCGUACACUGUGCCGGGAUCCUUCACUUGCUGCUCUUAGAAAUAACUUCUCAGGCACUGAGUCGAGACACAGAAAACCUUCAUCAACAGCGGGCAAGACCAGGGAGGCCCUGAGGAGAGCCCCCAGAGUGUGACGAGGGCAAACAGAGAUUGUGACAGGGUGGCGAGAAGGUGAGGAGCUGUGGGGAGACGGAGAUGGUAAAGCGCACCGGAGUCAAGUCAGAGGAACAGAAUUAAGAGCCCGGGGGACGGAAAUGACCUUUACAGAGGGGACACUUGAGAUGGCUGCCCUUCCUUCUCUCCCUUCUCUGCCAGACAAAAAUCAAACCAAUGUCUAUUAACCUUCUCUGUUCUUCCAUUUUCAGUUUUUCUCAAACCAAAGCCCAUACAAAUGGCUGGGUGGAAACCUCACUAAAUAUUUAUAAGACCAAGCAAGCCUGUUGUGGUGGUGUUUAUAAUAAAAAAAAAUGGUAACAGCCUAAAAGUCUCAAGAGGUGGAGUAAAUUAAAUACAUCAUCCGUAGGAUAGAGGGUGUGCUAUGGAUCAAAGACGCUUGGAAAGAAAUUGAUGUGAGAAAACGCUCAUGGAAGUAUCAUUCAUCAGUUUAUAGCACAUUUUUUCCAAUUUGUUAAAAUAUGGUCACGUGUAUGAAAAAAGGAAGGAUACAUAUUAAAAUUUUUGUCGUUUGUGCCGUGGAAUGGAUUCCGACUCCUAGCGGCCCUGCGUACAGCAGAGCGGAACCCUGCCGGGUGUUUCUGCGCCAUCCUCUCACCUUCCGGCACUGCAUCAGACAAUGCUCUGCUGCUAUUCACAGGGUUUUCAUGGUCAAAAUUUUUGGAAGUGCGUGGCCAGCUCCUUCUUCCUAGUCUGUCGGAGUCUGGAAGCUCUACUGAAGCCUGUCCACCAUGGGUGACCCUGCUGGUAUUUGAAAUCCCGGUGGCAGAGCUUUCAGCAACACACAGCUGCCGCAGUGUGACAACGACUGAUGGGUGGUGUGGUCCCUGAUGGGAGACAAACCUGGUCCGUGCAGUGAGAGCGCCACAUCUUAACCCAGACCACCAGGGCUGGCCACACAUCAAAAUAACAACAAUUAUAUCUAACUAGGAGAAUGACGGGUGAUUUUUAUUUUCCCCUUUGUUUUUUUCUAACUUUUCCAAAGUUUCUGCAAUAAACGUUUCUUAUUUGUAUAAUGGAGGGGUCAUUAAAUUCUUUUGAAAGAAUCAACCAGUCCAUUGCCCAGGGAUUCAUUAUCUGAAAUGAAUGUUUUUCAAAACAUGGGGGGAAACAACUUCUCCCUUGUAGAUUCUGCUCUUGGUUUCUAAACCAUGAUUUUAUAGAAAAAGAACGUUUCGGUUUCAGAGGGCAGCAAGUAGUUAUGCAAUCUUGCACACGUCAUUAAGGAAUCUUCAAAUGGACUCACCACCCUCAGUGUGAUAGAAAAGACUCGGGCGUUCAAGUGCACCCGCCAGCACUCGGAACCUGGGCAAGCCCGUCUUCUCACAAUGUUUCCCCUCUAUAACAUGGAGAGCAAUAUUGCUUUUCUGUGUGUUAUUGGGUCCAGAAAACCCCACAUUCCCCGGAAGCAAGGUAGGGCCGUUCUCACAGAAGUACAGUCAAGACUCCGUUUUCGACACAGGAUAUCUUUUACUAGAAGGCGGGAGAGGAAGCUGGUUCAGCUGGAUAAAUCCCUGCCAGGGAUGAACCACCGGAGCCCAGCCUGAGUCACUCAGUGAGUCACUCAGUGAGCCACUCAGUGAGUCACCGAAGCGGCCGGCUGAGGAGGCAGGCGGCACCCACAGACGGGAGCCCACCAGGGUCUGCGGCAGGAAGGCGGGGCGCCUACCACAGCAUGGCUUGCCAAGCAGCGCUGUCUCCAAACCCGGGCUCCGAACCUGCGAACCCCUGGCCGCUGAGAAGCGGAACGUGCGCACUUAACAGCUGCGCCACCGGCCGGCCCCUGGACUCUUCUGAUGACUUCUGCCUGCCUUUCUGAAAAUGCCCGUCCUGCCUUCCCCCGACUUUCCCGCCCCAGGCCCCCCAACACUCCCUGCCCCCAGAGCAGAUCCCACCCCUCCGACCUGACUUCUCGGAUACCUGAAACUGCCCAGAGACCCAUUAUUUUUCCGGGACGCUCCCAGGAAGAUAAAUUUGUCCGUUCUCCUUGAUGCGGAUGAAUUUCUCGUCUUCUUUCCCGGGAGCGGGUUUUGGUUGAGAGACGUGAGAGAAGAGGGAAGCCCUAGGGCCCGGGCCCAGUGACGGCGCGCUGCAGACCUGGACAGGAGAAGGGGUUCAGAAAGGCGGGAUCAGCGUAGACUUUCAUUGCAUCAGGCCACACCUUCUGUCUGCGCUCACGCGUGUCUGCCCCUUAAGGACUCUGUCCUUCCCCUCCCGUCAGCCCUCAGGAGAAAGCCCCCGGCCCUGGCUUCAAAUCCCUAUUAACUGCUGUUGGUCAGCACAGCACAAAGCCACCUUUGUGAGAGAGACAACCUUCAAGAGUCCUGUGGAGAAGCCGAGAUGAGGAGGAACUAAGGCGUCCGUCCCACCAGCCUUGAGCCAGCUACACCAGUCAGAACGGAAAUAGAGACCCAGAGAAGGUGUGGGGAAAGCAGAAGGAGGAGGCACCGGCCUUGCAGGUGGGUUGAGGCCAGGUGAAGGGCCUUGGGCUGGACACACAGAUCAAAUCACCUGAGUGAGUCUUGCCCUAGAACCAUUGUUCCCUCACCCCAUUCUCCCUCCUGAGGAUGGGUGAUGUAACUCCUGGCACAUCUGCCUCUCUCCUACCUGGCCGGUUUUGGUCAGGGGGUGUAACCCAACUGCCUCCACAAGUAUCCCAACCAGUGGACCCAUUGGAACAGGCUGUGGGCACAUUGGUCAGCUGAUGGCUGCUGAGUGGAAGGCAGGGCAUGCC